CACGGUGGUGGGUAACGCCCACCGACUUCUGGUUGCAAGUCAGGGAAAGUGCCACAGAGAACAGACCGCCAACCCCGUCUCGACGGGCGGCAAGGGUGAAAAGGUGCGGUAAGAGCGCACCGCUCGCACGGUGACGUGCGGGGCACGGCAAACCCCACCGCGUGCAAGCGCAAGCAGCUCCAGUUCGGCAUGCCGAACACCCGUUGUCCGCGGGAUGGAGCGGGUCGCGUGCUCGAUGCAUGUCAUGCAUCGGAGGUCGUCGGCAACGGCGGCUCCAGAGAAAUGAUCACCACGACGCUGGCGUCGUACAGAACUCGGCUUAUCUCCAAUGCAACCAC
rnacentral:RNase_P_RNA from 1 species